ensembl:snRNA U6 U6 spliceosomal RNA
GUGCUUGCUUCAGCAGCACACAUACUAAAACUGGAGAGAUACAAAGAUUAGCAAGGCCCAUGUACACGAACGACGUACAAAUUUGUGAAACGUUCAUCUGUUUU